rnacentral:rRNA from 1 species
CCGUCAAUUCAUUUGAGUUUUAACCUUGCGGCCGUAGUCCCCAGGCGGUAGACUUAUCGCGUUGGCUUCGGCACCGACGGCUUUUACCCCGCCGACACCCAGUCUACAUCGUUUACGGCUAGGACUACCGGGGUUUCUAAUCCCGUUUGCUCCCCUAGCUUUCGCGUCUGAGCGUCAGGUGCGACCCAGGAGGUCGCCUUCGCCUCUGGUGUUCCUCCGGAUAUCUACGCAUUUCACCACUACACCCGGAAUUCCACCUCCCUCUGUCGCCCUCUAGCCUGACAGUAUUGAACGGCCUCUCCCAGUUGAGCCAGGAGAUUUCACAUCCAACUUACCAGGCCGCCUGCACGCGCUUUACGCCCAGUGAAUUCGGAUAACGCUUGGCUCCUACGUUUUACCGCGGCUGCUGGCACGUAGUUAGCCGAGCCUUAUUCCGGGGAUACUGUCCUUCCUCAUCUCCCCGAAAAGCGCUUUACGACCCGAAGGCCUUCUUCGCGCACGCGGCGUUGCUGCAUCAGGCUUUCGCCCAUUGUGCAAUAUUCCCUACUGCUGCCUCCCGUAGGAGU